AACAACUCCAGACGCGCCGCCUUAAAAGCUGUAACACUCACCGCAAAGGUCUGCAGCUUCACUCCUGAGCCAGCGAGACCACGAACCCACCAGAAGGAAGAAACUCCGAACACAUCUGAACAUCAGAAGGGACAGACUCCAGACGCGCCACCUUAAGAGCUGUAACACUCACCGCGAGGGUCUGCGGCUUCAUUCUUGAAGUCAGACCAAGAACCCACCAAUUCCGGACACACCUGGGUGCAGCUCAUCUCAAACUGAAGACCUAUGAAUUAAAAGCACACGUUAUUUUCCGUUCUUCCCCACUUUCCACCCCAACAUAUAAUGUACUGAAAAGACACUCUUGGCUUAAGGUUAUGAGUUGGUGAAAAG
rnacentral:lncRNA from 10 species